GACGAACGCUGGCGGCGUGCCUAAUACAUGCAAGUAGAACGCUGAAGGAAGGAGCUUGCUCUUUCCGGAUGAGUUGCGAACGGGUGAGUAACGCGUAGGUAACCUGCCUGGUAGCGGGGGAUAACUAUUGGAAACGAUAGCUAAUACCGCAUAACAGUAGAUAUCGCAUGAUAGCUGCUUAAAAGGUGCAAUUGCACCACUACCAGAUGGACCUGCGUUGUAUUAGCUAGUUGGUGAGGUAACGGCUCACCAAGGCAACGAUACAUAGCCGACCUGAGAGGGUGAUCGGCCACACUGGGACUGAGACACGGCCCAGACUCCUACGGGAGGCAGCAGUAGGGAAUCUUCGGCAAUGGACGGAAGUCUGACCGAGCAACGCCGCGUGAGUGAAGAAGGUUUUCGGAUCGUAAAGCUCUGUUGUAAGAGAAGAACGAGUGUGAGAGUGGAAAGUUCACACUGUGACGGUAUCUUACCAGAAAGGGACGGCUAACUACGUGCCAGCAGCCGCGGUAAUACGUAGGUCCCGAGCGUUGUCCGGAUUUAUUGGGCGUAAAGCGAGCGCAGGCGGUUAGAUAAGUCUGAAGUUAAAGGCUGUGGCUUAACCAUAGUACGCUUUGGAAACUGUUUAACUUGAGUGCAAGAGGGGAGAGUGGAAUUCCAUGUGUAGCGGUGAAAUGCGUAGAUAUAUGGAGGAACACCGGUGGCGAAAGCGGCUCUCUGGCUUGUAACUGACGCUGAGGCUCGAAAGCGUGGGGAGCAAACAGG
rnacentral:rRNA from 1 species